UACGUAGGGUGCAAGCGUUAAUCGGAAUUACUGGGCGUAAAGCGUGCGCAGGCGGUUGUGCAAGACCGAUGUGAAAUCCCCGGGCUUAACCUGGGAAUGGCAUUGGUGACUGCACGGCUAGAGUGUGUCAGAGGGGGGUAGAAUUCCACGUGUGAGCAGUGAAAUGCGUAGAGAUGUGGAGGAAUACCGAUGGCGAAGGCAGCCCCCUGGGAUAACACUGACGCCUCAUGCACGAAAGCGUGGGGAGCAAACAGG
rnacentral:rRNA from 1 species